CCCCACGCCUCUCCUUGUUCCUAGCCACUUCUCUCUCUCUCUCCCUUAUCCUCUUCUCUCUCUCCCGUCCCCCACGCCUCUCCUUGUUCCCAGCCAAUAUCCACCUCCACCUACCGCCGUUCCCCAAGCCGCCGACGAGCACCAGGCAGUCGACGCCAUGGACGGCUGCUGAGCUUCGCGCCACCCGACGUCAACCGCAUCGCCGCCCCAAGGGAUCCGUGCGCGUGGCCGCGCCGCCGGUGUGUGCGGCCGCAGCAACAGGUUCGGCAAGGACUCUCGGCCCUGCCGCUUCAUUGCUCCUGCCCAAGCCGGCCUCCGCUUUCUGACCCCGCCACCGGCGAGCUGCCAUGCCCGUCCUCGUCGCACUGGUGCUAUCCUCUAGUAUGCUUGCUGGCUGCGACCAGAGCCCUGUACAUAUUUGGUUGUUGCUUUCUUGAUGGGUUUUAAGUGGAUCUUAAUUUGAUGUAUCCUGGCACUUGUCCAUGUGUAAAUCUGAUGUGCAGAACACUUAGAAGUUGCUA
rnacentral:rRNA from 1 species